GGGGAUUUGGCUCAGUGGUAGAGCGCUUGCCUAGGAAGCGCGUGGUCCUAGGUUCAAUCCCCAGCCCCG
rnacentral:tRNA from 1 species